CUUAUGCCAUAAAAUUUUUUUUCUCUCUUUUUUUUUAAUUGGCCAGACAUUUUUCCUCUUGGCCAAAACAUUUUCCCUCUCAUUUAAUUGACAACUCUCAUUCCCUUCCCCCCCNNNNNNNNNNNNNNNNNNNNNNNNCCCCCCUCCCCCUACCCAAAUCACCCUCUUUCUCAUUUUCUCCCAAAUCACUCUCUCUCUUAUUUUCCCCCAAAUCGACCCUCUCUCUCUCAUUUACCCUAAAUUGACUCUGGUCGGCCGUCCAUUGCAACUCCGGUCGGUCACUGCACUAGGUGUUGCAAUUGAGCUGGACUCCGAGGUUGGUGCACUUCCUUGUGUUGACAGAUUAAUGUAAGUCCUGAAAGGAACACUUGUGUCAAAUUGACUUUUGUGCUUGGAUUUAGUAGAUUAUACUCAAAAUGAAUACUUGUCAAAUUCACCUAAUUAAACUAGUUUUGGUUAUGUAACUUCCGUACUUUGCAUAUUUCAGCAGAAUGUUGGCUUCUUUUGAACAAUUUUAAAUAGUUAUUGUUUUUUAACAUAUAGAAUUCGAGUGAUUUUUUUUUUACUUAGCUAAAAUUUGUGUGUAAUAGUUGAAGUAGCAAAUGAUAAACAAAAAAGGUGAUAAUCGUGCACAGCAGAUGAUUAUUAGUGAUAUUUUGUGCUUUUAGUUCAGAGUUCCUUUGAUUGAAAAUAUUAAUUGAAUCUGCUCAUCAAAAUAAGAAAUAUGUCCUGUUGUAUAUUUGUCGAACGUCGUGUCUUUAUGUGAUUUUGGAGCUUGGAGUUUUUAAAUUUAAAUGUUCCGUGAAAUGGGUUCAUUCUAUUAUACUCAAAUUUCUUUGCCUUGAGAUGAUUUGGAGCUUCAGAUUUCAAUGAUUCUACGAAGUGAGUUUGUUGUAUUAUUGUUGAAUUUCUCGUCUUUAGAUGAUUUGGAGCUUCAGUUUUACAUUCUCGCUUCUGAUACUUCGAUAUCACCCGUGCACCAUCUUUUUAGUUAAGGUUAAGACUUCAUUUUUCUUGGUUCUGCAUGAAGAGAAAAAUUUAUGGUUAGGGAUCUUUAUAUGAGUGUGGGGUUAAACGUGAUGUAUAGAUGGAUUUUAGGUGUCUAACAAUUCCUAGUUUGCCUUAAAAGGGGGGUGGGGGAUUCUAUUAACAUUGGAAUGAAACUAGCCCAAAUUGAGCAAAAUGUUAUAGAGGAUUCGUAUAUCCGACACUAAUUAAUUUAGGAUCGAGGAAUUAGUGACUUUGAUUGAUUUAAAAUGUAUAGUUGCCCCUAUUUGGUGGCUUGGAUUUUUAUCCCUUGGUAUGUUAUAGUUACUUUUCUUGGUGAUAUUAAGGGGGAGCACCCAUGACCUGUAGGAUAUUAAGGAGGUACCAAAGAAUAAAUCGGAAUGUAGGAUGAAGGGUUCUAUGGCUAGUUUUACGGCUUAAGCUGGCGGAUAUUGCUCUUCAAUAUGAAAGUGGUGAAGGUUGACGGCCAGUGACUUAAAACAGUGUCAACUGUGCUUUAGGAUGAAGAUGUUUCUGAAGGGUGUAUAUAAUUUUAUUUCAUGAAACUCAAUCAAGUCAACUGGGAAAUUUCAUCAGAUAUGUCACACCAAUGAUAGAUAAGAUAUAACGAUAUAACUGUCAGUAAUCUUGAGGUCAAGGGUGUGGUUAACAAUUAAUGAAGCUAUAAUGGAUUAUGAAAAAACAAGGUUCAAAUUUUAGUUUAGAAAAAAGAUGUGAAGUGAUUUCUUUCCAACUAUGUAAGCAUUGGUGGACAGGUUUACCGAUAAAUAUGUUGAGUGGGAAGUAGCAGGUACUCGAUGGGUUAGUCAAGGAGUGACAAGUUGGGACGGACACAAUAUGUGUAAAAAGGAGUCGUGAGGUCAAUUAUUUCUGUCUCCUUGUUGAAAUAGGGUCAAUUACAAUGUUUUAUUAGUUAUGUUGUGUUAAUGAUAUAUGAAUUGAAUAAAUAUUGAAUUGUAGGUUAUGCCUAAAGGCACAAUUAAAUUUGAGCUAAAAUUAAAAUUUAUAAUUUGUUAUUGAAAAUUAAUGGGCCCCACUAAAUUAAAAAAUAAUAAUAAAAAAUAAAAAUUGCGGAGAUUUUAAACCACCGCAAAAUAAUUAUGGCGGUUGAAAAAAAAUUGCCGCAAAUUAUUUGUGACGGAGAUCGUAUUGUGGGGAUUUUGGGAACCGUCAGAAUCGCAAUUGCGGGGGAUUUAAAACUCCCACAAAUCUUAAAUUAACCCCCGCAAUUUGAUCCAUUUUUUGUAGUGUAUGGAUGUGUAGCUGGAUUUUUGUAUCAGUAAAAAAUGGAUAACAUUUAAAAACAUACAUCUUCAUUAUUUAUUAUGCAUUUGUAUGUAAGGUUUUGAGUGCUAAAAAAAAUGAUAGUUGCUGUAAUAUCUGCUCUUUUGAUGUUGAUAUCAUCAUACUAUUCCAUUGAAUAACUGAAAAUUGAAGAGAAUCUGCAGGCUCGAACACCUCUUGUUCUGAAAAGCACAUGAAUCCGAAUGCUAUAUUGAAUGUGCGAUUUUUUGGUUCAUUAUUCAGGAGAUCUCUUCUACUAUUUUUUUGAGACAAGAAGUUUUCAAUAAGGCUUUCUUAUUUGCAAUAACAUAUAAAUUUUUAAAUUGUGGCAAGGAUCUUAAAACUAUGGUGUCACAAAAAGGAAUUAUCUAUGAAAAAAUAAUUUGAGCUUCAAUUUUUUCUAUUAAAAGUAAGCGCGGAGGUCGUACUUUUGUAUUAAAUUGAUAUUCAAAAAAUACAAUUUUGCAUAUUUAUUCAUUUAUUUCAUACACUAAAAUAAAUAAUAACGUAUAAUAUUUGGUGAAAGUCGAUUUCAAUAUCAACUUCUGCAAUCAUUAUACUCAUUUCAUAUCGAUUUUAUACAGAAUUCAUACACUAAAUAAUUUAAUAAGUAUAUACAAGAUAAUUUUCACUAUAUUAUUCUUAUGAAAGAUUUCGAUCUACAUUCAAAUCCUCAUUUAUGUUGUUACCAGCACAAACUGGUUGUUCAAUAUUUUUUUCUCUAAUACCCAUUGACAUAUCUUUUAUUGUUAUAUACAAUGAAUAUUUAACAAAUAAAUUGACAAUAAUCCUUAUAUCGGAUUUUUUUGAAAGAACAAUAGGAAAAUAAGAAGAAAGAGAAUUUCUUAUGAAGGAGAAGAGUAUGUUCAUGAACAUUUAUCACAACAAGACGUAGAAGAAUAAAAAACUUUGUUGCGAUUGAGUACUUCAAUGGAGAAUGGAAACUAAAGUGAAGAACUCUUAAUCCAUGUAUAUGAGUGACUGUUGAAAAAUUCAUACGAAUAAGUGAAUGUUGGGAAACCCAACUUCAUACACAUGAGAAUCAGAAGGAGAGAAAAAGACGAUGAAAAAAAUAUUGUAAAGAGUGAAGAGUUUUAUCGGUAAAGAAAUACUGUAUAACGUGACAAAGUGUAGAAAGUAAAUUAUUAAAGUAGAUAAAAAGUUAAAAACCAAAUAUGAAUGUAAAAAAAUAUAUUUACCAUAUUUGACUCCUUAAAUUAUGAACAAACUUUGAAACUUAAUUAUUAAAAUAAAAUAAAAAAUGAUUGAUACCAAAAAUAUAACUUGCCAUAAUUAUCAAAAGAUUUAAUGAAGAGUGAUAAAGAUUACAUGCUAUAAAUAAGGAAAUAAUAUGAACAUUAAAUAGUAGAAAUAUGAUUUUCCGAUAUUUAAGAAAGAAGAUUUUUCAAAAAGUUGCUAUAAGUUGGAAUUAUUUCUUUAGUAUAGUAAUUAAUGAAAGGUGUUGCUAUAACUUGUGAUAAACAAUCUAAUAAAUUUAUUUAUGAUAAUUUUCACUAUUUUUUAUAUUUUUAUUAAAAAGUGUUGUGGGCUGUGCUAGAGCUGUCAAAAUAGAUUUGGGCCGUUAGGUCAGCCCAUCCUUACUCUUUAUUUGAGUGGGCUUGUGCUAAGAUUUCUUAGGCCCUUCUAGAAGUAAGGCUCAAUAAUUCGGCCUCUCUUAAUCACCUAGCUUCAAGGCUGGGGCAAGACCAGUCCAUGGACCAUGACUAUAAUCUAUAAUUUAUUAAAAGUGUGAAAAAUUUUAAAAAAGUGAUUUAAAUCUUUUGCCCUUCAUUAAAAAUCUCCGCAAUAAACAAAAUCAUUUUUUCACUCUCUUCCUCAAAUAAUUUUUAUUAAAUUAUUCUCCUAAUUAAUAUAGGACUUUAAAUAAAAUAAUAAUUCCAUAUAUAAAUUCUUUUCUUAUAUUUUACUCAACACAAAAGGUAUUACAACAUUAAUAUUGAUACUAGAAUACUUAUCCGCGCUUUGUGGAGUUAAAAUAAUUAAUUAGUUGAAUAUCAACUUUAAUAAUAGAACAUUAAAUUUAAGAAUCAGUCAUCUUUCAUGAUUCUGCCAUCUUUUUUAUUAGUUUAAUAUCAUGUAUAAUUUCUUUGACAGGUAAAACAAGAAGACUAUUUUGAAUUAAACAUGACAACCUAUGCAAAUUAUGUGAAAUUAAAUACUGAAAAAUAAACUAAUGGCAUUACAAAAAUUUUGGGGAUACAAACCCGAUACAAUCACUCCUUUUCAUUAUUUUAUUUCUUAAUAUGAACUAUUGAAAGUUAUAUGUGAUAAAUAUAAAUGUAUAAAUAACAUAAUAUUUAAUAAGCUACACUAUUGCACUCUUUCUGAGGACGGAUUUGUUUACGCAUCUCGUCGAUAGAAGCAUAAUUCAUUUUCUUAUAAAUGAGAAGAUAGAGACCUAAUUGGUUGAUGGACACCAUCUUUCUAUAAGAUAGAGUCUUGAGCUAUAAGGUCUUUUCUCAUGCUCAACUCGUUCUGCCAUAAGAUAUUAAUACCAAAAAAUUAUAGAAAAGUAAGAAUCAAGAAUUGUGUAUAUUUUAAUUUAGAAAAUGAGGAAUAACUCAUUAAAUAUUUAAAAUAACAUACCUUAAUUCUCCAAUCCCCAACUUUUCAAAUAUUUUUAUUUAGAAAUUGAUGCAUCUUACACAGAAACAAAAUUAUAUCCUGUAAAUACGAGAAGAAAUAAGAUCAAACAAUACAAAAAAAUAAAAGAGUAAACAAUAUAAUACAAAAAUGUUCUCAUAAUUUUCCUAGAAAAUUAUCCAGGGAUGCUAUAAAGUUGAUCUAUAGUGCAGCAGGCCUGGCCAACAACACUAAUAAUAAUCACUGUUAUUUUGUUAAGAGUGAUGGACACUGCAUUGUAUUGUGUAAGAAGUUGGGGACUUUUGAGAUUUAUAUGGUAGAAGAAAACAAAACAGAAUUAGACUUUUGGGCUUCUAUAGUUAUUGAGAAUAUAACGUGAGGAAUCAAAAAGUUUUAUCCUCUUAAUUUACAUGGAACAUGUAACAUCAAUUGAAAAUAACUGAAAUCUUUAAUUUCUAUGUUAAUGUGAGAGUUAAAUGAGUGUUUUUUGAACUUUUAAUACACAAAACAUAAAUGGAAAAAAUAGGAAAAAUCAAUCAAUCAAUCAAAGUAUAUAUAUAUAUAUUAUAAAAGAAUGUUAGUCCAUCCUAUGUGGCAUGCGUAAGAGUCCUCUAAUUCUACUUAUUUUAUUUUUUUAUAUUAAUUAAGUUUUUUCUCCAUUUAAAUAUUUAUGUGUUUAAAGAAAAUUCAAAAGCCACUAUAUUUAACUCUAUUAAUUAUAUAAUAAUUUUAAGGAUGAGGAAGAGUGAGAGGAGUUAGUAAUGUGGAAGGUCUCUUAUAGUGAAUAUAUAAUACUCUAUUGGAAUGAGAUAGUGUAUAAUCUGAAAAUUCUUUAAUAUUGCUGCAAUGUUCAUUUCCACCUUCCUUUGCAUAUAUAAAAGAUAAAGUCGUACAAACCAAGUUUAAGCAACAAUAUGGCCUUUUAGGUUAAUAUUUGUCACACCCCCGAUUUUCCACCGCAUCCGACCCCGCUAGGGAGUUGGUUUUAGAGAAAAUGGGUCUUUCCAAUUAAAGUGACGUUUUGAAAAGGGAUUAUUUUAUUUACAGAGUCGCCACUUGGAAUUGAGUUUGGGUGUUCCAAGUCACCUUAUUGAAUCCCUAUUCAAAAAGNNNNNNNNNNNNNNNNNNNNNNNNNNNNNNNNNNNNNNNNNNNNNNNNNNNNNNNNNNNNNNNNNNNNNNNNNNNNNNNNNNNNNNNNNNNNNNNNNNNNNNNNNNNNNNNNNNNNNNNNNNNNNNNNNNNNNNNNNNNNNNNNNNNNNNNNNNNNNNNNNNNNNNNNNNNNNNNNNNNNNNNNNNNNNNNNNNNNNNNNNNNNNNNNNNNNNNNNNNNNNNNNNNNNNNNNNNNNNNNNNNNNNNNNNNNNNNNNNNNNNNNNNNNNNNNNNNNNNNNNNNNNNNGUUCAAGUGUUUGUGUGUGUUAUAUUGUGUUGGGUAAUAGUGGGGAACGUGGGAGAAGAGGUGUAGGGUAAUUGGGAAACAUGGGAGUUGGGUAGGUUUUAGGAUUUGACUAAGGGAAUAUUAAUAUCACUAGAUUAUUUAUUUAAAAUUUAAAAGAAGAAAACAAAUAUAUUUUUUGACAAUUCUUUUUUUUUAUAUAAAUAAAUAAGUAAUAAAAAUAAAUGAAUAAAAAAACUUAUUUUAAUAUGACUUUAUUUUUGUAAUUUUCCAAACUUUAAAAGCAAUCUUGUAAAAAUAAGAUAAAAAUUAAAUGUAUUUAUUAAACACUAAAUGACGUAAACAUUUAGUUUGGUCAAAAAUUAGGUGUUUACACUUAUUAAACAUUUACUCACUAUAAAAAUGAAUUUAUACUUAUAUAAGAACAUACCAACCUACUCUCAAUGAUGUUCCUGCUAAAGUCUAACCUCUGAUUCAAAUAUGUGAAACAAGAAUAUAUUUUCGAGAAAAUAAGGUUAAUAAUACCAAACUAAGGGCCAACAGUAGAUAGUAAAACAAACCAGACAUUGCUCGUCAAAUAUGAUGAUUCAAACUUCUACCUCAAUUUUCAUGCAUGUUAUCUAUUAUUUGAGUCUUAAGCCACUAUUUUGUCACUAAAUAAUUAGAAUGUUAGGUGUUAGGGAUUAUUUUAAACUUUUUUUUUUUUUUAAAAAAAUCUGCAUAACUAUAUCCAUGCCAACUUAUGAACCAUUCAACCAUUUAAUAUGCUAAUUCCAAGCAAACGUUGCACACACAUAAAAUGGGGCACUUAACAAGAUAAGUAAGGUAUUGAAUCACAAUACAAAACUUGCUUUACAUAUAUUGAUUCAUAACUCAAAGUAGCAUAAUCAAUAAGCGACUUCGUUCAUGGUUUAGAUUCACAACAAAACUUAUAGAAGUAAUAGUACAUAUCGGAUAAGAACCUGAAUGACGAAUUAAACCAAACGAAAAGCUCUAACGUCGUUAAUGGAAACUCAAACCGGAACCAAAACGUAACUCAACUCGUCACUAUCUUCCUCUUUGCUUCUUGUUUUCAGAACCUCUCUUCUGUGUUCUCUCUUUCUUUUUGCUUUUUUUUUUUCUUCUGUUUUUUUUUUCUUUUCAAUCCUUCUCCGUUUUUUUUUUUUUCCCGUGUGUGUGUUUUUUUUUUUCGUUUUUCAAGUGCAUGUGUGCAUGUGUGUUAUAUAUUUGUGUUUGUGUCGUGUGUGUGUGGGGGGGAGAGUGGGAGAGGUUAAUUAGGAGUGGGAAUUGUGGGUGGUUUGGGUAGUUUGAGUAAAAACUUGUUUAAAAUGUGACUCUAUUUUGUAAUUUUUAAGAUAAAUUUAGUAAAAAUAAGAUAAAUUUAAAAUAUCUAAUUUAAACCUUAAAACGAAAUUGAACACUAAAAUGACAAAACACUUAGAUUUGGUAAAAAAUUAGGUGUUUACAAUAUUUGCUUAAGCUUUGUGUUUCUUCUUACUACUUUUUAUUUGAGUUUUCUUACUAGACCAAAUGUGAAACAUGUAUUUUAAAGGUCACAUGUUUUUUUUAUUUGUUUGCUUUUUAUCUUUUUUUUUGUCCCUUCUUGAUUUACAAAUUGUAUUUUUCUGCAAGUUUUUUCUACAUAUGCAACACAUGCUUUUUUCAUCCUUUCUUGAUUUACAAAUUGUAGUAGAAACGAUUGACUUGAGAGGGAGUUUUUAGAAUGUGAGAAUCCGUUAGUACCGAGAGAAAUAGCGAGUUGAGUUUAUUACUUUGGAUAUGAUUUUUAUACUAGAAGGUAUUUUGACCUCAUUUUAAUUAAUUGUAAAUUUUUUAUUAUAUCUUUGGAUAGUCACUAAGGUUUCUAUUUGGCUAGAUUGAUUUAAUGCAUGUUGAAAUAAGGAAAAAUUUGAUGUACAGAUUGAAGGUAAUUCUGAAUGAGAGUUUAUUAUUUGACAUCACGAACUUUAAGGUUAUUAUUGAAAAUAAUGGAACAUAUAAACCACUUAGUUAGAAGUAACAUUUUUCUUCUUUUUGUUCAAUUCUCUCUAAUUUAAAUUAUGUGGUAUAUCACUAAAGCUCACAUUUAUUUAAUUUUAAUCCUCUUGAUUUUUCAUUAUAUUUUCUUAUCUAAAAUUCAACUUUCAUAAUUAAACGCCUCAAUUGAGUAUAUUUUCUUAAAAUAUCAACCUCUUAUCUGCUUAAUCACCCGUACAACUCAUUAAACGCCUCAAUUGAGUAUGUUUUCUUAAAACAUCAACCAAUUGAGAUGUUUUCUUAAAAAAAAAAAUCAUCUCAUAACCUAACAUUAAACUAUGUCAGCCAAUUAAAAAGGUUGUGAUAAAAAAUUGAACCCAUCCAAAAAGUGGAAGCUUGAAUGAUUAAGAAAUAUAUAUGAGUAUAUAUACUUAUUGUUGUAUGUUUUAGAAUUUUUAAUUGUUAUUUCUCCAAAGAUAAGAUAUGUAUUCUCCAAAAAUAAGACUUUAUAACAUAAAUUUAUACUCUGUAUCAAAGGAAAACAUGAAAUACUCUUCAAUUGAUUAUUUUAUUGCUAAUUUUUUUUUUUUGAUAUUUCGUUAUAUAAUUUUUUUUGGUUUUUUAAAUAUACAAUCUACCGAUAAUAAUAAAGCUAGGAAUAAAAGAAAAGAUAUGACAUUUUUCUUUGGUCAAGAAGUAAGUUUAUCUUUGUUCUCUUUUUGAAAUUUUCUUUAUUUUUUCUCAUUUAUGUUCUAGAUUAAAAUAAAUUAAAAACCACUCAUUUAUUUCUCUUAAUUAUAUUAAAUAUUAAAUGUUAAGAAACUAAAAAGUCACCAAAUUUUUUUACUAUCAUCACCCCUAAAACAAUUAAUAGUCACAUUCAUGACAUUAUUUAUUGUUUCAUAUUAUAGUUUACAAAUAAAAAUAUUAUAAGAUAUUGUAAACGUUAAUCGCAUUACCUUUUGGCGUGAUAAUAUUUUCGAAGCUUAUUACAUCCAUGUUAAAAUUUGACUUGAGGUAUAAGGUGAAGGCUACUUAGUGGAAUAUCGAUAAGAGUUAUAAAGAUUAUUGAACAUCGAUUCAUAUAUUUUUUAUUUUAAUUUUUAAUUUUUAAAGUUGUAAGAGUGAUGUUGCAUUAUUUUUUUUUAUAUUCAAAAUGUAUAUACUUGAUAAAACUAAAAAUAUGUAUAUUUUUGUUUUCGCAAAUUAAAAAAGAUAGAAUCAAAUAAAAAAAAUUGAAUACAAUUAUAGAAAAUUUAGGAAAUAAAAUAUUCAGAUUUGAAAAAUCAAGCAUUACAAACUAAUACUAAAAUUCAGAAUUCAAUUUUAACAUAUAAAAAAUAUAUAGACAAACAAAGAAAUUUGAAUACACCCAAACACUAACACAGAAUAUCCAUUAUAUAGAUGUAGGUAUGCGGUUAAGUAUUGUUCUUCGAAUCUCUUUUGUUAUAUAUUGUUAAUUGUUAGCCCUUAAAUAGAGGCAUUGUAAGACUUUUUAGAAAUGGUUGCAUUAUUUUUUUAAAAUUGUUAUUUUUUUAUAUUUAUUAUAUUCAUGCUCAGUCGAAAAAUUGGAUGAAGACUAUUAAGUGUUGUUCGGUAUUAUGGGAGUGGAUAUGGACAAAAACUCGAAAGAUUGUUCAUUAAUUUCACAUAUUUUUCAUCUAUUUUUUUGUGAUGGUUGAGGUUGUAAAAACGAGUCAUAUUAUUUAUUUUUUCAUAUGUUCUCCCUAUGAUUUCUCUUUAUUUUGUUUUUUAUAUGAGUUUUUGUUUGUUAUAAGUUUAUAGCUUCUUUUGGUUUAAAAUUGUAACUUUUUGACUUUAUUAAAAAUUUGAUAAUUACUAGUCAAACAUUUACCUCUACAAAAUCAAUUAUACAGAUGUUAGAAGUCUACUAAACAUUUCUUCAAAUUAAAUUAUAUAAAUUAUAUUUAAUAAUAUUAUUAAUAUUUUACCUUUUUUCAUAAUCGUGCGAAGCGCGAAUCAGUUUACUAAUGUCAAAAAUGAGAAUGCAAAUGAAGGCAUAUAGAGGUUCCACAUCACUUUCUCUAUUAGCUUCCUUUAUAUUAAAUAUAGAUUUAAGAUUCGUAACUUGAUUAAAACUGUAGCUAAUUGUAGUUAUUUGUUACCAACUAAAUUUGGAGUCCCCUUUUUUUGGGAGUUUGUAGUAGUAAGUUUAAAUAAUUCUAAAAGAAGUAAGUUGUAAAAGGCCGAAGUAAGGGAAGUAGAAAAAAUAGAAUAACAGUUGAAAAAAAGAAAAAUAGAAUAAUAGUUGGGAAAACAAUAUCAAUACGUUGGGGGUACUCAAAAUUAAAUCCUAAAAGAUUUACAUGAGGAAAAGAGAAUAAUAAUUGGGGUUAAAAAAUUCCCUCACCCAAGGUAAAAAAAAAAUUCACAAUUAAUUUGAUUUAUAAUUUCUUUAGGUUUGAUUAUUUAUUCUAGCAAGAAAUCAUAAUAUUUAAUAUUUCUAAAUUAAUUAAAAUUUUACCCUAAAUAAAUAAAAAAUUCUAUCAAAUUAAAUUGUUCGGUGUUCUUUGGUACACACCCGAACUUCCUCUGAAUUUUUUUCAAUUUGUUAUUUGUUAUGUCUGUUCCUUAAUCUUUUGUGAAUUCAAUAUGAUAUAAUUGCUAAUUACAAUUUCAAUUCAUUUAUCACGAUGUUUUUGCUAUAUUUUGUUGGAAGUAGAAAUAUUUGAUGGCAAAGAAUUUUUAUAACUAUUUCUUGAUGAGCUUUUGAUAGUGAAGAUAUUCUUAAAACUACUUUUCUGGUGAGCUUUGAAGGUGUGGUGUAUAAUAAUUUCAUCAAUUUCAAGCUUAUAUUAUAUAUGAAUCUCUGAUUGAACUUUUGUGUAACGGUUAGGUUUAAUCAUAUUAUUUUAAUAUCUUGAUUAUUAUAUUAUUUUGUUAUAAUUUUUGUUCACUUAAUUUUUUCUGCUUAAUACAUGUGGUAGAUGAUUUUGACAAAUUUUAAUAUAAAGAUUAGAUUUAAUUGUAUUGUUAUGAUAUCUCAAUUAUUAUAUGUAUUUUUGUAGUUUACAGGUGGUAGAUGAAUGUUCAGUUGGACUUUGAGAAAUUUUUUGCAAAUGUUAGGUUUAGUCGUAUUAUUAUGAUAGCUCGAUGAUCAUAUUGUUUUGUUGUAAUUUUUGUUUUGUUGCUAUUUGUUGUUUUUGUUAUUAGUCGUUGUUUCUUGUAAUUUCGUUACUUCUUUUGGAUUGUUAUUGACUUUUUUUCCUUUAGCC
rnacentral:lncRNA from 1 species